rnacentral:rRNA from 1 species
UACGGAAGGCAGCAGUGGGGAAUAUUGCACAAUGGGCGCAAGCCUGAUGCAGCCAUGCCGCGUGUAUGAAAAGGCCUUCGGGUUGUAAAGUACUUUCAGUCGUGAGGAAGGUGUUAAGGUUAAUAACCUUAGCAAUUGACGUUAGCGACAGAAGAAGCACCGGCUAACUCCGUGCCAGCAGCCGCGGUAAUACGGAGGGUGCGAGCGUUAAUCGGAAUUACUGGGCGUAAAGGGCACGCAGGCGGUUAAUUAAGUUGGAUGUGAAAUCCCCGGGCUUAACCUGGGAAUGGCAUUCAAGACUGGUUAGCUAGAGUCUUGUAGAGGGGGUAGAAUUCCAUGUGUAGCGGUGAAAUGCGUAGAGAUGUGGAGGAAUACCGGUGGCGAAGGCGGCCCCUGGACAAAGACUGACGCUCAUGUGCGAAAGCGUGGGGAGCAAAACAGGGAUUAGAUACC